ACAUCCAGAGAACUUAGCAGAGAUGCUUUGGUGCCUUCGGGAACUCUGAGACAGGUGCUGCAUGGCUGUCGUCAGCUCGUGUUGUGAAAUGUUGGGUUAAGUCCCGNAACGAGCGCAACCCUUUAUCCUUUGUUGCCAGCGGUUCGGCCGGGAACUCAAAGGAGACUGCCGGUGAUAAACCGGAGGAAGGUGGGGAUGACGUCAAGUCAUCAUGGCCCUUACGGCCAGGGCUACACACGUGCUACAAUGGCGCAUACAAAGAGAAGCGACCUCGCGAGAGCAAGCGGACCUCAUAAAGUGCGUCGUAGUCCGGAUUGGAGUCUGCAACUCGACUCCAUGAAGUCGGAAUCGCCAGUAAUCGUAGAUCAGAAUGCUACGGUGAAUACGUUCCCGGGCCUUGUACACACCGCCCGUCACACCAUGGGAGUGGGUUGCAAAAGAAGUAGGUAGCUUAACCUUCGGGAGGGCGCUUACCACUUUGUGAUUCAUGACUGGGGUGAAGUCGUAACAAGGUAGGCGUAGCGAG
rnacentral:rRNA from 1 species